GCGUGCGCAGGCGGUUUUGUAAGACUGUCGUGAAAUCCCCGGGCCUCAACCUGGGAAUGGCGAUGGUGACUGCAAGGCUAGAGUUUGGCAGAGGGGGGUAGAAUUCCACGUGUAGCAGUGAAAUGCGUAGAUAUGUGGAGGAACACCGAUGGCGAAGGCAGCCCCCCUGGGUCAAAAACUGACGCUCAUGCACGAAAGCGUGGGGAGCAAACAGGAUUAGAUACCCCAGU
rnacentral:rRNA from 1 species